UACGUAGGGUCCGAGCGUUGUCCGGAAUUACUGGGCGUAAAGAGCUCGUAGGUGGUUUGUCGCGUUGUUCGUGAAAACUCACAGCUUAACUGUGGGCGUGCGGGCGAUACGGGCAGACUAGAGUACUGCAGGGGAGACUGGAAUUCCGGGUGUAGCGGUGGAAUGCGUAGAGAUCCGGAGGAAGACCGGUGGCGAAGGCGGCCUGCUGGGCAGUUACUGACACUGAGGCGCGACAGCGUGGGGAGCAAACAGG
rnacentral:rRNA from 1 species